GCCCGUCUAGCUGAGUUGGUAGAGCGCAAGGCUCUUAACCUUGUGGUCGUGGGUUCGAGCCCCUUCACUAUUC
rnacentral:tRNA from 1 species